CUUUGCCUUCUCUGUCAGUAUCUCCAGUCUUCUUAGCAACAUUCUCCAGCCAUGAAGCUCUUCUGCCUUAUUUCUUCUGUUUUCCUCCUGCUGCUUUUGGUGGUGGUACCAGAUUUCUCCCAAGCCAUCCCUGGACCAUGUGAAUACAGUUGCCAGACAACUUGUGUUUGGGGAAAGUGGGUCCAUCGGCACUGUAAAGUUGGGAGGUGCUGCAAGAGAGAUUGACGGUUGGGGACAACAAAUAGCCCCCGAGUGCAACAUCUCUGAGGGAGCAGCAUCGUUUUGCCUCCGGAAACUCUGCCACGCCCUGCACCUUCGCUCGGAAAGCAAGACCCUCUCCUGCCACGGAAGACCAUUCUGCCAAUAAACCUUUACCGGGGACUCCUAGGCAUGUUUACUGGGAAGUAUGUCUCACUGUGUUCAGUGGGGCUUAUUCCCUGGUGAGGGUGCCUAGGACCACAGCUUUCAAACUUCCUGCUUAAAUGCUUUAGCUUUCCUGCUUAAUAAAAGCAAGCAAUUGAAA